CCUACGGGUGGCAGCAGUCGAGAAUCAUUCACAAUGGGGGAAACCCUGAUGGUGCGACGCCGCGUGGGGGAAUGAAGGUCUUCGGAUUGUAAACCCCUGUCAUGUGGGAGCAAAUUAAAAAGAUAGUACCACAAGAGGAAGCGACGGCUAACUCUGUGCCAGCAGCCGCGGUAAUACAGAGGUCUCAAGCGUUGUUCGGAAUCACUGGGCGUAAGGCGUGCGUAGGCUGUUUUGUAAGUCGUGUGUGAAAGGCGCGGGCUCAACCCUCGGACGGCACAUGAUACUGCGAGACUAGAGUAAAGGAGGGGGAACCGGAAUUCUCGGUGUAGCAGUGAAAUGCGUAGAGAUCGAGAGGAACACUCGGGGCGAAGGCGGGUUCCUGGACAUUAACUGACGCUGAGGCACGAAGGCCAGGGGAGCGAAAGGGAUUAGAUACCCCUGUAGUC
rnacentral:rRNA from 1 species